ACGUGCUUUUCGUGACGAUACAAGUGGUUUGAAACCACUCACGGCGGUUGAGCCUAAAGGCUUUUGUGCACAAUGUGAAUAUUAUAUGAGGAAAUCCAAUUUUUCAAUAAUAUGCAUUAUAUAAUAAAUUAAAAGACCAUCCAUUGUUACGGCGUGGGCGGUUUCCAUUAUCGUAAAAUUUACCGGUUGUAUAACCUUUUGUGACACAUUCCUUACGUACAUCCAGGCGAGAUACCGACCUUUUUCGGUCCACAUCAGCCACAGCUAUCGACCAUUGACGGUAAGUAAGUUAUAUACAGAAG